rnacentral:rRNA from 1 species
CCUACGGGGGACAGCAGUGAGGAAUAUUGGGCAAUGGAGGCAACUCUGACCCAGCCAUGCCGCGUGAGUGAAGAAGGUUCUCGGAUUGUAAAGCUCUUUCGGAUGUGACGAUGAUGACGGUAGCAUCUAAAGAAGCCCCGGCUAACUUCGUGCCAGCAGCCGCGGGAAUACGAAGGGGGCAAGCGUUGUUCGGAAUUACUGGGCGUAAAGGGAGUGUAGGCGGUUUAGUAAGAUAGUGGUGAAAUCCCAGAGCUUAACUUUGGAAUUGCCAUUAUAACUAUUAGACUAGAAUUACAGAGAGGAUAGUGGAAUACCCAGUGUAGAGGUGAAAUUCGUAGAUAUUGGGUAGAACACCAGUGGCGAAGGCGACUAUCUGGCUGUACAUUGACGCUGAGGCUCGAAAGCAUGGGGAUCAAACAGGAUUAGAUACCCUAGUAGUC